rnacentral:lncRNA from 1 species
CCCGCCAGGUCCCAGCAGCAACUACAAGGGCCUGAGUUGAGUCCCUCUGGGGGCCCUUUUCUAUGAGUUUCCAGGGAAACCGGGCUGAAACCUCUGCAGUGCCCUUGGCAGAGGGCUCUUCUGCCCUUGCCAGCAGUCAGCAGCUCCUGGGAACAAGGAACCACAAAAGCAGCAGACAGAAAAGACACAUGACAGCCUUAAACCUAUCUGCAGGCACGGAGAUGUACGACUGGCAUGUCAGGACGGCGAUCAGCAGCUCCGUUCAAAGUAUUAGUUAUUGAGUCUGGUGAGGCCCAGGAGGCUUAGUCAUGCCACGGCUUAGUCAGAUCUGCAUCGCUUCGGCCUAUCCCAGGCCCACAGGGAUUAGGAUCACUAUGUGGGGCAGUUUUGAGCAACCCGCGGCCAUCAGGCAGCCUGCAGAACCGUCUGUCUCGAUCACAGUCUCCGUCCCGAACCUGUACAUCCAGCCCAGCACCGCUGUGCCAAGGAGCACUCGGUGAGUGCUCGGGGACACAGGUCUGGUCCCGUUUUUGCACAUAGCCACAGAGCGUCAACAGCUAAGGAUGGAAAAAUGUCAACUAAAAUGAGAAAACACAGUGUACGGCAUGGUAGGCUACGACAGUACCGAAGUGUUCUGGCUGGUACCAAAUGAGACCUUGCUGCCCAGCCCCAGCCUGCCAUCCCUAGUCUGCCCUUAGUCUGACGGAGCAAGCUCUUUCCUUUAUGGCCUUCCUGCGUCCUUGUCAGCUGGCCUUCUGCAAACAGCUGCUGGAUGAGCACCACCUUGGUUAUCAAGCCAUUUGGGCUGUCACAGAUUACUUGCUACUAUGCUUGCAGAAUUACAGUAAGGUAACAUGGGGUGAGUGGUUGGAGCCUUUAUCAGGAAGAGCCGCAUUGCUCUCUGGCCUGACUUUCUUCACUGAAGGCAAGACAAGAGUAUUGGAGUCCAUAAUCCUUUUUGCCAGAGUUAAAUGGGCGACAGACAGUGGAGUAGUGACUACACAGGAAUGAGCAGAAAACAGCCACAGGGAGAACAGAAGACCUCAUAAAAGGCGAGUCACAGGCUAUUAGUAAAAUCUUGGAGCGUACAGAACAUUUCUCAACAGCCACUGAAGAACAGAUCCAGUCUGAACUUUUCUUCAUGCUGGCUAGCUUGCACGCAUAGCAUAUCACACCUGGGCUGAACUCGACUUUCAAGACUGUAAUUAAUCAGUGAAAACAGGCAACGACUGUGGAUGUAUAAUUUCUCUGGGGAACUGUGAAGAAAGGAGGUCAUGAUGCUCUGGUUGUUCUACCCACUCUCAGCAGUUCUGAUACAUCUGUACCACAAUGGUCUAGGCCAAAAGCCUUUUCUCCUCCCACAAGACAGGCACUACAUUUGCAUUUCAGUAUAAAAUUUGGAGCAUUUAUUCAUCACAAGGAAAAUAAAUGCCUGUUUACAUCUGAGGAACGAUGAGUU